AUAAAUUAAAACAUUUAAUUUAAUUUAUAAUAAUUAGUGUAUGGUAUAGUCAGAUUAUUUUUUUGGAACAAGAAUUUAAAUUCAUCAAAAUUUCCCCCAUUAAAAAGUUAUCUGGCCUUUUUGUUUUGAUAAGGAUAUAUAGGCAAAUAUUAAUAAUAUAGUUCAUAUAUGGGGUGCUGGAUUAAAAGGUCUUAAAAAACAUGUUAAAAGUCUUCACCAGUUUAUUUCACACUAAAAAGUAGGUCAAUAGAUGAGAAGGAUACCUCUGUUGGAUUGACAGGUGAAAAUGUGACAGAUACCAAUGUUUCUGAUUAAUCUAGUAGUGUAGAACUAACUUCUAUUUUAAAAACCCAAAUUUACACUUUUCGUUCUUUAAAACAAUCUGCUUUUUCUUUCUGAUUGAACAUUCUACAUUGAAUUCAGUUAUUGUCCAAUGAUGAGGAUCUUGGCUAUUACUUCUGUGAGUAAAGAGCAAUAUAAGUAAUGAAGUUUCUUUUCUUGGUUUGUGUGGUUUAUUCAUGUGUGGUCACUGAAGUAGCUCAAAAGAAUAAAAGGCUGUAUGCAUAAAACCAAAUCUAAGAACACCAAGUAUUGCCAUAGUAAGAAUGUGUUAUGGGCCAAGGAGUAGAAUGAACACAUUUCAGUACCUCUGAGAUUCAUCUUGGAAAGAAAUGGAAGGCAUUGAAUUAAAUUUUUCAAAACUGUUGUCUAUUCCAUAUUAUUUCUGCACCACAGUUGGUUUAAUAUUUCAAUAUUAUUAGAGACCCAGACUAUUAACUGUUUAGAGGAAGCUCUUAGAAGGGACAACUUAUUGUGUGUGUUCUAGGUGUAGGGUACCAUUGUGGUUUUUGGAUGGUUCAUUACAUCAUUUUUAAAAUUGAGUGAAUUAAAUUUGUAUGGCCUGAUUAUGGCUCACUUUUUGUGAUGGUCCUGAUAUGAAACAAGGUUACACUCAUAUCUAGUCUGCAAACUCUGUCAGAAAUCAGCCUAGAGGCAAUAAUUAGAGUUACAUCCUGUGACUGUUCUGGGAUCCUGUUCUGGGAGAUUGUGACUCAUGAGAUAAUGGAGGUAUAAAUUAACAAAGAAAAAGAGUACUAAGCCUGGACUAGUCAUGAGAUUGGAGGGUGUCUGAAUCAAACAUAUUUAUUAAAGUGAUAUCUAAUUCUGAGGUCCAUCAUUUACAAGUGGCCUUCUUAUUUUUUUUUUUCCUUUAUGGAAACGAGUAUUCAGCAGAAGUUCAGAAUAUUCAGAUAUCUGGAUCACAGACAUCUUCUGGAGAUAGAUUGAUUUUUACAAGUAAAUCAAUGUAUGAGUAAAUGAAGAAAUGUAAAGAUGGGUAAAUAUAAAGAAAGCGUGGACCAGUUACGUGAGUAUGUAACAAACAUGGAUUAUUAUUAAACAUUACUAUAGCACUGAGUGGAGAAGGACAUGAGAACCCACUCCAGUCUUCUUGCCUGGAGAAUCCCAGGGACAGAGGAGCCUGGUGGGCUGCCGUCCAUGGGGUCACAAAGAGUCGGACACGACUGAGUGACUAAGCACACUGCAGCACACAGCACUGAAUUUUAGUGAAAUACAUUCAUAAAGGCUGUUGCUCUUUUUUCAAAGGAGUAUGUAUGCAGAUGUAUUUAAGAUUCAGUGGUAUUGCUUGGUGUAGGUGGUUUGCUAGUUGGCUGUUUAGAGAAGAGAAAAUUUACAAAUAAAUGCUGAUUGAGUAAUUAAUUGAUAAAAGAAUGAACAUAGCUCAUCUUCAGAAUGUGCCUCAUGAAAAUGGUUAUUGUUAAUCCAACUCUUUUCACUGAGUUUUAUUAAAAACAACAGAACCACCUCAUCUUUAAAUCUCUGUAGGUAUUGAAAUAGACAUACGGAGAUAAUAAAUACUAUUUAAGUUUCUUAUCUAAUGUUAGUUAGUCCCUAGAUACCGAUGUGUUCUUACAUAUAAAUAGAUGAAGUCCUAAUGACAGUCAAUAGUUUAAAAGGAGGCAAACAUAGCUCAGUAAGAAAGAAUAAUGAUUCAUCUUUAGGUAUACGCCUAAUUCUCUCUUGCUAGUUUAGAUAUGAACAUGUAGGCAGGUACAUGAAGAUCAUUUCUAUUUUGGGUUGUGUCUAUUCUGGAUUUCCAUCAUUUUCUUUUGUGUGUUUAUAUAUUUGAACAUAUGGUCACGUAUUCCAUGAAUAAUUCCAUACCUGAAUAAAUACAACAAUGAACAAUUGAAUUAAUGUGUGAGUAGAGUCAAGCAUAGACUUUGGUGAGAAUAUGCCAUGAAUGAUAAAUUCUAAAUUCAGCCAUUUCUCUGCAAGUUGAGUCCAUUAAAAGGAUUAUCCAGGCUUUUACUUAUGUGGGUAGGGGUCUAUAGACAGGUAUGAGCAGUAGCAAUAGUUUUUAUUUUUGAGUGAUGAGCUCAACUGUGCUCGUUGUAGUAUUUGAAAGUAUUAGUUAAACCAAGCAAUAAAAACGAGUGCUCUUCUUGGGUCAAAGAUGAAAGUGAGACUUGAGUCAACUUCAUGAUUAACCUAGGAUCACACAGCUAAUAUCCUUUAAAUCAGUCUACAUCUAGACAGUUCCUUCUUCUGAACAUUGGCAUUUGACCCCACAGAAUGAAGACUAUGGCUGCUUCAGUCUUCUCUGAGGAAGAUCUUGGCUGUUACCUUUGUGGAAUGGAUGCUCAGUGAUUCAAUUAAGGACUGUAGAAACUUACAAUGGAUGCCUAUUAGCAGAUUUCAGCAUCUCCCAUGGUCAUGUGCUCUAUAGACUGAGAAUGGACCAGUUGAGCUGAUUGAAAAGUUCUUUCACGGACAUGCUCUUUAGUUGCCUCCAUGUCUCUGGUGUAUAGAGGCCCAUAAAGAGGACGCAGAACUCACACGUUCAUGGAGCCGUCACUAUAGGAGUGUCAAGCCCUCUAAUCAGUGCACUCAAGCGGAUAUAUAUGCAUUUUCCAUGGUUUCCUUUGUGUAUUGAGAGCCUAGAGAAGAAUGAUGGACGCACACCAGUGGGUUGAAGUAUCUUCCAUGGUCUUGGGCUCUAUAGACUGAUAAUGGAUGCACCUGAACUGAUUAAGCAUUUAACUGUGAUCAGGAACUCUGCUGGUUGUCCUGUGUAUAAAUACAUGUGGGUCAUAAUGGAUCCUACAAGCUGAUCUCAGCUUCUGCUCUGAUUAGGAUCAUCAUGUUGCCUCUGUCAGGAGGGCAACAAAGGUUUUUCCCAAACAUUCCUUAGUUGAUAGCAAUGUAAGAUAUUUUCAUCAUGAGGAAGAGCACAUUGGAGAUGGUGGGUUCUCACUGCUGUUCAAGUUUCCCAUGAUUCCUGUGAUCAAAAAAUUUAUGGCUGCAUCUAUGUGUGGGAACCAGUAACAGACACUGGAGUGGACCUCAGCUCCUGCCACAAUGAAGAUCAUCGUAAUGUCUUUGUCAGGAAAGAGGCCAAGACUGGACACACUUGAGGUGAUUUAACCAUCUUCCAUGAUCCCAAGCCCUUUGGUUGCCUCUUUAUAUUCAUUAAAAGUAUGGUGA